rnacentral:rRNA from 1 species
UGAGCAAUCUGCCCUUCUCAUCGGGAUAAGCGUUGGAAACGACGUCUAAUGCCGGAUACGACCUCCUUUCACAUGAUCGGAGGUGGAAAGCUCCGGCGGAGAAGGAUGAGCUCGCGGCCUAUCAGUUAGUUGGUGUGGGUAAUGGCCCACCAAGGCGGCGACGGGUAGCCGGCCUGAGAGGGUGACCCGGCCACACUGGGACUGAGACACAGCCCAGACCUCCUACGGGAGCAG